rnacentral:rRNA from 1 species
AUUGAACGCUGGCGGCGUGCUUAACACAUGCAAGUCGAGCGGUAACAGGCGUAGCAAUACGUGCUGACGAGCGGCGAACGGGUGCGUAAUACAUGGGAAUCUGCCCUUUGGUGGGGAAUAACCCGGCGAAAGCCGGGCUAAUGCCGCAUGAGAUCUUCGGAUGAAAGCGGGGGAUCGUAAGACCUCGCGCCGAUGGAUGAGCCCAUGUCGGAUUAGCUAGUUGGUGAGGUAACGGCUCACCAAGGCGACGAUCCGUAGCUGGUCUGAGAGGACGGCCAGCCACACUGGGACUGAGACACGGCCCAGACUCCUACGGGAGGCAG